rnacentral:lncRNA from 1 species
AGAAAUAGAAAAGGAAAGAAGAAAUAGAAAGUGACUCAUUUUGGAUUUUCUAGAGAGAGAAAGUGACUCAUUAUUUUUGUUUUGAGGUGCUAAUCGGUACAAAAUGAGAUAAAAUGGGUAUCAAAUCGAUUAAUCAGUUUUGUAUAUCGGUCCAAUUGAGAUUAAUAUUCAUAAUAUAUUCAGUAAUCUGUUCGGUCCGAUUUUUCACUGAUGAACAAGCCUAUGAAAGAAAGAAAGAAAAGAUGGAAGUAACAAGUACGGUUCGGG